CAGUCGCCGCGGGAAUACGAAGGGUGCAAGCGUUACUCGGAAUUACUGGGCGUAAAGCGUGCGUAGGUGGUGGUUAAGUCCGUUGUGAAAGCCCUGGGCUCAACCUGGGAAUUGCAGUGGAUACUGGGUCACUAGAGUGUGGUAGAGGAUAGUGGAAUUUCCGGUGUAGCAGUGAAAUGCGUAGAGAUCGGAAGGAACAUCUGUGGCGAAGGCGACUAUCUGGGCCAACACUGACACUGAGGCACGAAAGCGUGGGGAGCAAACAGGAUUAGAUACCCCCGUAGUCCCUGUCUCUUAUACA
rnacentral:rRNA from 1 species